rnacentral:lncRNA from 1 species
CUCCCUCUCUCCCUCCCUUCCUACUAAAAACCAAUAAGGCUAGGGAGCCUAUCUGCAUAGUUCUGUGAAUGUCUCGGAACAAAGCAAUACACAGAAGCUAAUGCUCUCAUCCUGUGUAAGAUACAAAUCUUGUCACAUCAUGGACCAUCGUGGAGCAUGAAGCUAUUUCUAAUGUGAUGGGGGAAAUGUUUCUAGCAGAAGAGCAAGACAUGGUCCUGGUGCAUGAAAGGAGCCUAAGAAAGAAGAGUGAAAGCUGCACGUGUGAAGGAAAUGAAUUUUCCUCAUUGUACACAUUCCGAGAAAAAUGAGGCUAAGACUAUUUCAAAGGAUGUUCUACCUAAUUCGAAUGGGCUUUAAGUGCCAUCUUCACAAUAGCGCCAGAGUCUGGUGUCAGCAAACUGAACAAAUAGAGCUACAGGGAGCGAAUGGGGCUGGGUGCCUCUCCAAAACAUAUGCAGAUGAACUUGAGAUUUCAGAGGACGGUUAAUCCUACACAGCAGUCAAGUGCCUUCCCAGGGAGCAUCCUGGCAGGCAUCCACUGUGCCAUAUGCUUUCGGGAAGUCUGGAUGCUGAAUGUGGUGGCUGUGGGGAAUUGAGCCUUAUUGCUUCAUAAGAUUCCUGGUGGUAGAACUAUUCUGAACAAGAACACGUCCGUCCCCAUAGGUGUGCUCCAAGAAUCACAGAAUAAGAAGGGACUUCGGAGAGAGCCUCACACAGUUGGGCAAUGGGAGCCCAGAGAGGCAAGGAAGGCUCCUUGCCCAAAGUCUUGUACAUCUGAAUCUGCAACUCCUGACUAUUUUUGAGUCUUAUGCUCCAGGCUAAAACUUGUGACUUUAAGUGUGAUGUUCUCGGUGAUGAUUAAUCUAGGAUGUUUCUGUUGUUUUCUUACCGUCAAAGAAUUAACAUCAAAAGGAAAGGAAGGAAGAAAUGUAGAAGUGAAGGCAAGAAGGAAGGAAGGAGGAAAGGAAGGAAGGAAAAUAUAGGCUUUGGGUAAAAAUAAGUUUCUACUCAACACUGACAAAGGUACAGGUUUUGGACAUUGGUUUCCUAAUCUGUAAAUGAGGAAUAGUCAUCACAUCGCUGUCCUGGCUGGUUUUGUGUGUCAACUUGACACAAGCUGGAGUUAUCACAGAGAAAGGAAAGAAAAUGCCUCCAUGAGAUCUAGCUGUAAAUGGAUUAGUGAUCAAGAGUGGGAGGGCCCAGUGUGGGUGGUGCCAUCCCUGGACUGGUGGUCCUGGGUUCUACAAGAAAACAAGCUGAGCAAGCCAGGGGAAGCAAGCCAGGGGAACAUCCCUCCACGGCUCUGCAUCAGCUCCUGCUUCCUGCCCUGUGUGAGUUCCAGUCCUGACUUCCUUUGGUGACGAACAGCAAUGUGAUAGUAUAAGCUGAAUAAACCCUUUCCUCCCCAAC